GCGGGUGUAGCUCAGUUGGUUAGAGUGCCGGCCUGUCACGCCGGAGGUCGCGGGUUCGAGCCCCGGCCGUUUGUC
rnacentral:tRNA from 1 species